CAUACCAUUUGCAAAAGUAGGUAACCCAAGGUAUUGCAAAUGGGGUAUGUCCAGGCUAUUUUAGUAGCCACUUAGUCACAAACACUGGCCAAAAUUAGCGUUCAAUUUCGUUUUUUGCAUUUUUCACACACAGACAAAUAUGAACGCUAAAUUUGACUAGUGUUUGUGACUAAGUGGCUACUAAAAAGAUUGGACAUACCCGAUUUCUAUUACCUUGGGUUGUCUACUUUUGCAAAUGGUAUG